UGGGGAAUUUUGGACAAUGGGCGAAAGCCUGAUCCAGCAAUGCCGCGUGUGUGAAGAAGGCCUUCGGGUUGUAAAGCACUUUUGUCCGGAAAGAAAUCCUUGGCUCUAAUACAGUCGGGGGAUGACGGUACCGGAAGAAUAAGCACCGGCUAACUAUGUGCCAGCAGCCGCGGUAAUACGUAGGGUGCAAGCGUUAAUCGGAAUUACUGGGCGUAAAGCGUGCGCAGGCGGUUUGCUAAGACCGAUGUGAAAUCCCCGGGCUCAACCUGGGAACUGCAUUGGUGACUGGCAGGCUAGAGUAUGGCAGAGGGGGGUAGAAUUCCACGUGUAGCAGUGAAAUGCGUAGAGAUGUGGAGGAAUACCGAUGGCGAAGGCAGCCCCCUGGGCCAAUACUGACGCUCAUGCACGAAAGCGUGGGGAGCAAACAGGAUUAGAUACCCUGGUAGUCCACGCCCUAAACGAUGUCAACUAGUUGUUGGGGAUUCAUUUCCUUAGUAACGUAGCUAACGCGUGAAGUUGACCGCCUGGGGAGUACGGUCGCAAGAUUAAAACUCAAAUGAAUUGACGGGGUCAUAGCUGUUUCCU
rnacentral:rRNA from 1 species